rnacentral:rRNA from 1 species
GUUCUGCCAGAAGCCGAUGGUGGCCGUCUGGCCGUGCGAGACCUGUCCGCCUUCAAGCGGCCGUUCGCCGAAGUUGUAGUUCUCGCCAUACGAGCCCGGAUCGGGCAGGACGAUGUCCGAGAUGGUGUCGUUGACGGAGUUGUCGCCAACGAUCACGCCAUCGACGGUCCCGACGAUGUCGAGCCCGUCAUGGAAGCCGGCCGGCUGAAUCUCGGUGAGUGUGUAGGUGCCCGGGCGCAGG